CACAACUUCAAGCUAAUGCCUCGGGCUUAUUUAACAGUAUUAUCAUGUGAAAGACACAGCUGUGGAGAGGCAAAGGGUGACAAGGUAGCACAUUUGUACAUAAUAAGGCUGGCCUGGGGAUGGAGGGAGUCCCUGCCCUGACUGUGACUCAGUGAGACUCUUUGCCUGGUCCUAGUCCAAGAGAAACGCAUGCUAUGAUCUCACUGAAGUCUGAAGUGACUCUGAAACUUUGCAGUAAAAAGAAAAUUUCAUCCUUUAAGAUGAGUGGCCCUGGAACCACGGCAGCCAUAUUGCCACCAGCUGGAAGACGAAGCCAACGGUGGGAGAAGACAGAGCUGGUCGAAUCCCCCAGGAGUAAAAUGCAGCCUGUAGUACCCUUCCUGGAUUGUAUCUUACUUGGAGUCUUCUUGUUCUGGGAGGCAAUAAAUUUCUUUGUUAUUUAAGCCAUG
rnacentral:lncRNA from 1 species